rnacentral:rRNA from 1 species
AUUGAACGCUGGCGGCUGGCCUAACACAUGCAAGUCGAACGAGUGGCGGACGGGUGAGUAAUGUCUGGGAAACUGCCUGAUGGAGGGGGAUAACUACUGGAAAAGGUAGCUAAUACCGCAUACCAUCGGAUGUGCCCAGAUGGGAUUAGCUAGUAGGUGGGGUAAAGGCUCACCUAGGCGACGAUCCCUAGCUGGUCUGACAGGAGGACCGGACACACUAGAACUGAGACACGGUCCAGACUCCUACGGGCGGCAGCAGUGGGUAAUAUUGCACCAUGAGCGCAAGCCUGAUGCCGCCAUGCCGCGUGUAUGAAGAAGGCCUUCGGGUUGUAAAGUACUUUCAGCGUGGAGGCGUUACCCGCAGAAGAGGCACCGGCUAACUCCGUGCCAGCCGCCGCGGUGAUUC